UCCGUCGCCUUAAAUUCUCUCUCCUCCUUCCUCAAAAUAUCUCUGAACUGCUUCCGAACGACACAGCAAAAAACUCUUAGCUAACUGGAAAUUGUAUUAGACAAAUGCUCUGUUUUGCUCUGUAUCUCAAUGGAUAGAGAGAAAAUAACGGUUAAGGAGGAAUUAGAAGAGACGCUCGUGAACGUCGGCGGGUCGUCGGCGUCGUCGUCGUCUUCGAAUGUGUCGCCGCAGCCAAUGGAGGGAUUACACGAGAUGGGUCCGCCGCCAUUUCUGACGAAGACGUUCGAGAUGGUGGAGGACCCCUUGACGGACACGAUCGUAUCGUGGAGUAUAGCGAGAAACAGCUUCAUCGUUUGGGACUCUCACAAGUUUUCGACACUUCUUCUUCCUCGCUACUUCAAACACAGUAACUUCUCCAGCUUCGUUCGUCAGCUCAACACUUACGGUUUCAGAAAGGUUGAUCCAGACAGAUGGGAAUUCGCAAACGGAGGAUUUCUAGCAGGGCAAAGGCAUUUGCUUAAGACCAUCAAGAGAAGGAGGAACGUGUCAAGCAGCAUACAACAGAGCCAAGAAGCUUGCGUUGAGGUGGGCCAAUUCGGGCUCGAGUGCGAGCUCGAGAGGCUCAAGAGAGAUCGGAAGGUGUUAAUGGCGGAAAUCUUGAGGUUGAGGCAACAACAACAGGAUUCACGAGAGAAAGCCAUGGCAAUGGAGGGUCGAUUACUAUCCACAGAGAGGAAGCAACAGCACAUGAUGAACUUCCUCGCAAAAGCACUCAGCAAUUCUACUUUUGUUAACCAAUUCGCUCAGAGAAAUGCCGAGAGGAAGUGGUUAAACGAGGUGGGGACUGGACGAAAACGGAGGGUCAUUGCGAGUCCAAGCUUGGAAAAUCUGCAGGGACAAGAGGCUGUGGGUGAGGCUGGAUUGGAACCGGAGAUGGAGACGUUGUUCUCGGCUGCAAUGGACAACGAAUCGAGCAGUGGUAUCAAUGACCCUAUAGCGAGUUCUGUGGACACUGCGAGUGGUGAUGGUGGUGGUAACUUGGAUUCGGUUAACGAAUCGAUUUGGCAGGAGCUACUGAGUGAUGAUAUGAUUGGUGGGAAUCAAGAGGAAGAAGUUGCGCUAGUCGAUGAAUCGGAGCCCGACGUUGAGGUCGAGGAUUUGGUUGCGCAAACUGAUGAUUGGGGUGAUGAUUUGAGUGACCUUGUUGAUCAAAUGGGAUAUCUCAGGUCCAAGCCCUAACUUGGAAAGCUAAUGUUACAACAUACAAGUGGUUGUGGUGUAAUUUUUUUUAUGAGUUGGUCCCAGCAACUGAUCUAUUCCCAAUCCAAUUCCUAUUGGCGGGCUCGCCGCAGGGCAUCUUGAGCAGGCUAAUUAGGAAGUACGUACGGUAUGGUACAGUGACUUAUGAGUAGAAAGUACGGAGAUUGAUGAUGCUAGUACAUACUACAAAGAUUGUAUACUGGACAGAAGCCUUCGGAUUAGGAAGUACGAUGUUUAAUUUAUUAUGCUUAGAACAUAUUGUAAAGCAUGCGUAAAUUGUAAUAUAACAAAAGUCGCAUAGCUGAAAUAUCUUGUUAAUGUUAGGAUCAGCAAAAACUAGGUGAAGAUUGCCUCCGGGAAAUAAUGUAAAGGAAUGGUGUCUACCUAUUUUUUAGCAUAUUUUCUUUUUGUUCUUUGCCCGAGAACCCGAGAAUCUCAAAAUAUGAACGGAAUACUGACGUGAAAUCUCUGUUACUUUUC